GACCUGAUAGCAUAAUUGGCUAGUGCACCUGCUUAACCUGGGGAAGGCAUCUAGUUAUAUCUAGUAGGAGAUCUCUGUUCGAUUCGGGGUCAGGUCA